GGGGGCAGGAGAGUCACUCAAAGAGGAGAUGACAAAUAUUUCCUCAGAUCCAAGCAACUGAACAGAGCCAGGAACUAAUCCAAAGGAGGCCUUCACAGAGUCCUGCCUACCCACUAAAGCAGAGUGUGGCAGGGUUGGUGUGAGCUGGAGGAGGUGUUGAUGUUGCAAGUCAACUUGUGCUGUAGCCUCAGUCCUACUUUCAGGCAUGAAGGCCCAGGAGGUAGAGAGCGCUGUACUCUCAACAUGUCCAAACACAGACCCAUGCAGGGGACCCCCAGAUCUGAGCCUCUCGCCAUGGUCUAUGUCUCAGUGAGUGGUAUUAGUAUCCAUCCAAUCACGAAGGAAUGAAACCAAAACAUGACUCAUGACCUCACCCUCUUCCUCACCCUCAGUAAUAGGUCCACCAAAUCAUGUCAGUGAUGAACAUCUUCAAACCUUCUUUCUUUUCUUCUUUCUGCCACCACCACAGCUGCACAGUGCCACACUGCCUCCCUCCCAGACUACAGCAGUAGCUUUCUAACUGUUCCCUUCACACCCAUCCCAGCCUGUCUCAGUCCCCUCCCAACCCAGCCACCAGAAUGAUCUUUCCAUCUGUAGAGAUGUACAGAGUUUGGCGCAGCAACUCUCUUCACGUAAGAGGAAUUUUUUGAAAAGUCUCUGGGGGUUGACGCUUAGAUCCUAAGAGCCCUCAAGUGUCGGGUGGAGGUGAGAAGGAUUUGCUGGUUGUGCUAUAAGUUGGAAAAGAAAAAGAAAGGGUGGAAGGGGAGGUGAUGUGAGGCCAUGUGGUUGUGAUAGGUCCCCCAGCAUCCCCCACACUGACCUUCAGUAAAAAACUCAGAAAAUAACAAAAUGCUUAACGAAACCUGAUUUCCCAUGGGAAUCAGUGAAAGGCCUGGGCUUUGGGUCUAGACCAAUAGUGAGCGGAGACAGAGACAGUGGCUUAGGGAUGGCAGAGUGUGGAUUGGGAAGGAGGCAGGUGUGGGGAGGCUCCGAAGCAGCACACACAGAUGCAGAUAGGACAGAACUGUAGGAGGCUCUUAAAACUGGAGGAGGGCUUUGACUAGGCCAUGUCAGCUUAGAAGUCCCACAGCAACCUCAAACUCAGUAUGCCCCAAACCGAACCUCCCGUCUUCCUGGUCCUACAUGUAUAUAUAUAUACAUAUAUAUAUAUGUGUGUGUGUUUAUUUCUGACCAUAGAUAUAGAUAGGUAGAUAGAAAGAAAGGAAGAAACAUAUGUAUCUCCAACUAUAGAGAUAAUUCCUCUUUAGGUGGGAGGUUGAAUUACAGAACCUAAAAGUUUCCUUUCCGUUCUCAAGUUCUCUGAGGUUUAGUUUAUUUUAGACUAUAUUUUGAUUAUUUUUGGCAGGUGUUUAUCUUCCUAACUUGUUUGGAUUUACCGAAACAUACAUUUCAGGGCUAGCAUGGAUCUAGGAGAAAGACCAAGUCCCUCAUGUUGAGAGUGAGAAGAAGUGACCCACUAAAUCUCACCUGGUCCAGGCCUCUGCCUGUUUCACAUUAUUUUGAAUUCUGGAUACGUGGCAAGUGGUGAUAAGGACAACAAUCCAACUAGGUAAUGAGUAAGAGAGAGUGACAGCCUGGAAUUAGAGUGUAAUCUGUUUUUACCACAUGUGUAUGCUAACAGUCAGUGAUGAUUGUGACAGUGGUCAUGACUCCAGCAAUUCACAGGUCCCUACACCUGAAGAGAUUUAGAGACCUCAUCCAAUGUACUUCUUGCCUCCUGAUAACUAAUGCCUGAUUCAUUCCAGAGAUGAACAAAUUUAAAAGAACGUGCUAUUUAAAAUAAAAAAAAGGAAUUUUAAAACCUUUUCUAGCUUUUAUUUCUUUCUGAGGAGUUCCCUCCUGUUAUAUGCUUAUUUUUUUUACCUUCAUUUUAAAAAUAAAUAACUGUAGAACAGCAUAUAGUUCUCUGAACCACACAGCAAAAGAAAGUAAAAGGAAGCAAAAAGAAGCUUGCUCUAUGGUCAUGGGCAGUAAGAGACUGAUGAUACAGGAGAAGUUGGAUUUGAGGAUAUGAAAGCUGGAAACAGCUGGUUCAGGCUGCACCGGAACACACACAUUACACCCAUGCCAAUUGCUGUCUUUUCAAACUCCAGGAAGCCUGGCAUGGGUGAAGCUGAGUCACGUGGAGGCUGUGCCGAAGCCUGGUUGUGCCGUAAGUUUUGUGUGCAGCAGGCUCUAUCUUUCUCUCAGAAGUGAGUUGGGUGAGCCCUUGGUAUCCAACCCUCCCUACAGUCACCUCCUUUGAGAAGAAAAAAAUAAGACCCAGAAGGUAGUAUUAUC
rnacentral:lncRNA from 10 species